CUUGUUCGGCCAGCAGCUUUGGCUCGCUUUUGCUGGGAGAGUAAGAAGCUUGGAGCCGCCCACGCUGCUGCAUUCUAUCGCGGUUUUAUCAGUUUCUCCCGGUCUCUCAUUCAAAGUGAUCAAUUAAAUCGUCUGUUUUGGAAUGUGCACUCGCGCCGAAAUGCAGACGCACCUACACAUCCAUAAACACAUAUGCACUACAAGCUAGUUCGGCCCGUGACGAAAUUAAACACGGUGAGAGCGCUUUGUUUGAUGAGAGAGAGAAAACCGUAAAAUGUCACAAGAAAAGAGAGCGAACCACCUAGUCUAAUUUCAUUAUGGUUCGGCCGCAAACGUUUGCUCUCGUUCUUGCUGUGAGAUGGAGAGAGAUAAGCAGAGCAGAAACGAAGUCAGAUUUCGAAGCAGAGCUUGCACUCUUGCACUCUUGUCACAGUAUUCUCAGUUCCCCCUCCCCCUCAGUCGGUGAUUCAAAGCGUUUAAUUAAAUCGUGCGUCCAAAUGCAAGGUAACAAAGGCGGAAAGUGUGUAAAAGUGCGAAUGAAAAAAUUCACCGGUAGAACUAUGGUCUAGAACGUGCGGAAAUAUUAAGUGCAAUGCAUUACGGCAUACGAAACGGAACCAUAUGUGUAUUAUUUUUUUUCCUGUUAGAGUGAAUUCAGUCCACAAGGCGGCAUUUGGGCAAAAGCUGAGUGAAAGUGUUAAAGUGUAAUCAAAUGCGAGUGAGAAAAAGCGCAAUGACUAAAUAAACAGCAAGACUAUUGAUCGCAAUGGCAGCAAACCGAAAUUAAUGACACCAAAUGAGUGAAAAGAACAUUUAAAACAACAACAACGAAAUGCAAUAAAAGGAAACGGGAACAAUUAUGCAAAACUACAGCAUUAUGGUACGUUUGGUGAAUCGUCGAUUGAGUAAUAUAUUUAAUGGCAUUCCUUCUUUCUGUACCUGCGAGUACAUAUAUCAAGUAAAUAGGAUUAUCUAGUGGCUGCCUAGGAGGCUUACCAUCCUGCCAUUCUGCCAUCUGAAUUGAGAGAAAUGUCCAAAAUUCAAAACACUUUUGAUUUCUCAGCACCUUCACACAAAAGGCAGGCGGAAGGAAGACUAAUAAAGCCACGACUAUCAGAAAGUCAAAGAAAAAUGAAAAUGAAAAAGAAAA